AAGUCGUAACAAGGUAACCGUAGGUGAACCUGCGGUUGGAUCAUUACUAAAUGAUAACCAUUGGCUUGUUGAUCUCCCUUUGGGGAGAACCUCGCCAGUGGUUUAACAACCUUUGUGCACUAUAAUGUUUUUUGGGCCGUUGCCACCUUUCGAGGAGGUAUUCGACCCAGCCACAAGAAUCAACCUUUUAAAUUUGACUUAUAUUUUAUUAUUAAAAUUAAACAACUUUAGACAACGGAUCUCUUGGCUCUC
rnacentral:misc_RNA from 1 species